ACGGAGCAACGCCGCGUGAGUGAUGAAGGUUUUCGGAUCGUAAAACUCUGUUGUUAGGGAAGAACACGUACGAGAGUAACUGCUCGUACCUUGGCGGUACCUAACCAGAAAGCCACGGCUAACUACGUGCCAGCAGCCGCGGUAAUACGUAGGUGGCAAGCGUUGUCCGGAAUUAUUGGGCGUAAAGCGCGCGCAGGUGGUUCCUUAAGUCUGAUGUGAAAGCCCCCGGCUCAACCGGGGAGGGUCAUUGGAAACUGGGGAACUUGAGUGCAGGAGAGGAAAGUGGAAUUCCACGUGUAACGGUGAAAUGCGUAGAUAUGUGGAGGAACACCAGUGGCGAAGGCGACUUUCUGGCCUGUAACUGACACUGAGGCGCGAAAGCGUGGGGAGCAAACAGGAUUAGAUACCCUGGUAGUCCACGCCGUAAACGAUGAGUGCUAAGUGUUGGGGGGUUUCCGCCCCUCAGUGCUGCAGCUAACGCAUUAAGCACUCCGCCUGGGGAGUACGGCCGCAAGGCUG
rnacentral:rRNA from 1 species